CACACACACACACAGUGAGAGAGAGAGAGUUCUCCACUAACUCUGAAAAUAUAAAUAUAUUUCUAGUCUUUCACUGCUUAAACUAAUCUCACAUAAUCUGUUCCAAGGUCCUUAUAGACGAUGAGAAAUAUUAAAAAUAUAGGCAAUUGUAGAUGCUAAUUUUCCACAUAGAAAGUUGUUUAAAAUGUCCCAUCUUGAUGUCUACCUUGACAAUUGUUUUAGAAGAAACUACUUUGCCAAUGUGUCACACACGAAUGUCUGUCACGUUUGUGAGAUCUAAGGGCUGGGGCCUGGGAAAAAUGACUCACUUGGAAAGGUGCUCGUUGUGUAGCAACAAGGACCUGGGUCUGACUGCCAGCAUUUAGAGAAAAAGCUGGGCCAGCGGGUUCCUGUUGCUGCGAUGAACACCAUGACGACAGACUGUCACACACUUUCUGACUUCUCUCUCAUCAAGACAAGACCUAACUUGGUUUCAUUGUCAGAAAAUCCUGGCAUCACCGGAAGGUGGGACUUUGGCCCUGGUCCAGCAAACUCUCCCGAUAAUAUUCUUUCAGCUUCAUUCUGGCGGCUUAACCUGAUAACCGGGAAGAAAAGAACUGCUUAGCGGCGUGUCAGCUCACUCCGUCGCGAGCUUCAUCUGUCGAGAAUGUAAAAUCCCAUCACCCAUUGCGAGGAUGGCUGUCAUAUCGUACAAAGACUAAUCUUGGCCAACCGAUGCUCUUUUAAAAUGCCCAGACCUAUUUGAGAACCAACCUGAUAACAAAGCCAUGGGUGUAGAGAGAAUGUGAUGGGGGGCAGGUGGGUGUUGGGAGCAUGCUCAGUCUUGAUCAUAGGAAAACAUUGGAGAAAAGAAAAACUUUUCUAAAAGUCCACACAACAGUUCUUUUAGACUUUGCCGCGUGAGCACAAGUCAAGCUGUCAGAUUGCCUGAAAAGUUAACA